GAUGAACGCUAGCGGCAGGCCUAACACAUGCAAGUCGAGGGGCAGCACAGAAACAGCAAUGUUUUGGUGGCGACCGGCGGACGGGUGCGUAACGCGUAUGCGACCUACCUUUAACAGGGGGAUAACGGAGAGAAAUUUCCACUAAUACCCCAUAACAUCGAUCAAGGCACCUCGAUUGAUUGAAAACUCCGGUGGUUAAAGAUCGGCAUGCGUUGUAUUAGGUAGUUGGUGAGGUAAUGGCUAACCAAGCCUACGAUACAUAGGGGGACUGCGAGGUUAGCCCCCCACACUGGUACUGAGACACGGACCAGACUCCUACGGGAGGCAGCAGUGAGGAAUAUUGGUCAAUGGGGGCAACCCUGAACCAGCCAUGCCGCGUGCAGGAAGACGGCUCUAUGAGUUGUAAACUGCUUUUAAACAGGGAUAAAGCACAGUAUGUAUACUGUGUUGAAGGUACUGUAAGAAUAAGGAUCGGCUAACUCCGUGCCAGCCGCCGCGGUAA
rnacentral:rRNA from 1 species